GAAGCGGUGGUGUAUCGCGAACAUCGCUGCCCGGAAAGCAGAAGAUGCGGGUUCGAGUCCCGCCUGGUGCA
rnacentral:tRNA from 1 species